CCCUUAGAUGUUCUGGGCCGCACGCGCGCUACAAUGAUGAAUUCAACGAGUUUAUAACCUUGGUUGAAAAGCCUGGGUAAUCUUUUGAACUUUCGUCGUGAUGGGGCUAGACCCUUGCAAUUAUUGGUCUUCAACGAGGAAUGCCUAGUAGGCGCAAGUCAUCAGCUUGCGUCGAUUACGUCCCCGCCCUUUGUACACACCGCCCGUCGCUCCUACCGAUUGGGUGUGCUGGUGAAAUGUUCGGAUCGGCCGUUUGUCGCGGUUUCCGCGUCAUGUGGCUGAGAAGUUCAUUAAACCCUCCCACCUAGAGGAAGGAGAAGUCGUAACA
rnacentral:rRNA from 1 species